CAAAGAUAUUUACUCUUUCCUUUUGUUUUUAAUCUUCUGAUGGAUGCAUGGUAGUUUUUGUUCAUAUACUGCUUUAUACUGAGUAAACAUAAUUGCUGUCUUGUUUGGGACUUUCAGUUGUCAUAAUUCCAUUAUUUUUAUAAUUAUCUUAUUAAUUUCUCAAACUGUAAUGAGAUGUGAUAGGCGAUUACAAUAGUAAUGCUCAUUAUAUUAGUAGUUGCAAUAUUGUAUGGUUGUGGCCCUGGCAGUAAUUUAUAGAAGAAAAGACAUAACAUUCAUCAUUCAAGUUUCAAAGAAAUAUGCCAUAAUUAUACUGUCAAAGCAGGAAAAAUGGAUAGCCUUGUUUAUAUUUCCCAUGCAUAUUCUCUCAAUAUAAAGAUGAAAAAAUGAUUUCACUUGUGUGGUAAUUUUACUUACCUGUUGAAGUUGUAGGUGAUUGUUCACUCCAUUCCCUUACAUUACAGUGGAUUAAAUAUGACCUAAUGAAACAAAAUGGUAUUGGUCAUAUAGAUUCUGAUAAAUCCAUGAGUUUAUAUCAUUUUAUGUUUCAUUUUUCUUAUUCAUUUGUAUUUGAAUCAUGUUGUUAUUCGAUGGUUAUAAAACCUUAGUUUUAGGCACCAAAUGUUUUAGCUACAAUAGACAUAAGUUAAAGUUACAUUAAUCUAUUAGAUGGGUUCAAUGGGCAGAAGUAGCUGUGCUUUUACUAUUUGACCAUAAGGUAACAUUUCUUCAGGUAGUUGAGCAAAAAUACUGAACUUUUCCUCUUGUAUAGGUGCUGAAAAUCAGGCUAAACUUGUCGAGGAAAGCAUUCAACAUGCCAAGAAUGCUAUCUCUUUAGAUGUGAAGGAUGGGUACUCUUGGUGUAAGAUUCCAAAUUAAAUUCUAUCCCAUUGCAUAUUCAUGUUUCCAAUUCUCUUGAUUUUUAGAUAUACUCAAAUUUUCUCAACUAUCUCUUAAUCCCAACAUUUUUUAAUGUAAUUCAUAAAACUUUUCAGCAGAUGCUGCAAGUUUGCAAUGACUUGAAAAUGUUGUUACAGCAAAAAAAAAAAAAAAAUUGUUAAAUGUAUUUAGUUACAACUGAUCAACUAUGGCUAGAAAAUCAUAAUUUGUUUUCGAUGUUGAGAGUGUUGCAUGUAUGUUAUAUUAGAUAUAUGUUAAAAAUAUAAAUUGGAGUGACUUAGCUUAUU
rnacentral:misc_RNA from 1 species